CAAGCCUGAGUUCCCAUUUCUUUAAUCCGAUCACUUGCUCAUUCUCCCUCCAAAAGCCCUCACGAUAAAAGCUCACGAAGAUGCUGCCCUUCUGCCAACCAAAGCUCGAACAAAGAUGGUGUGCAGGUGCAGAAGGGAGAUGCCAAAGCAAGUCGGGAGCCCAACCUGUGCAUGAGAUUCCCAUUAUUAGAUGACAAAGACAAGCUACGGAAAGAGAACUACAGCAAGAUGCCCCCUCGCUUUCCCCAAUAUAUAAAUCCAAAUUCACGUGACUACGAGCUCGACAACCGAGAGAUGCAUUUCUCCUCCGGCCUCCUCCAUGGCAGCCCGCAUCAGGCUACAGUUGGCGUUAGAUCAUUACCUGUCGCCAUCUUCCCGAUUUGGAGCCUAUUUAAGGCCAUCAUCGCCGCACCUUAUUCUUCGGACACAAGCUCUCGGAGGAGCACUUGGAGUGGUGGGUGAAGGUAUAUGGGAAGUUCAAGGAGCUCUCUUCAGUCCAAUCUACGAGGGGAAGAGGGCACAUCCGGCUGCUGGUUCAUGCAUACCUUUGGGGUGCAACUCCCUGCACCACAGUGGUGAGCAUGCGCCAGGAGACGACCUUCCUUCCUUCUUCUCAUGCUUGGAUUGAAGGGAGCUCCUCUCUCUCUCUCUCUCUCUUUCUCUCUCUCUCUCUCUCUCUCUCUCUAGAUAGAGUUCAUGCUACUGAACUAUGCUGCUAUCUUUCAGCAUCAUCUCACAUCAUAAAGAUUGUCGGGAAAGAUAUCUGAAGAAAUAUGUUGUAAACACUCGAACAUAAUCACGUAUACAAAGUAGAAGUUCAACAAAGAUAGAUGAAGAGUAAACUUACACUUCAAUUGAUGGAAACAUUGGCAAUAGCAACUGUUCUACUAGUUUCAAAGCUAAUACAUGUACACGUUAAUGUUUUGAGAAGAAUGUUAUCGGAUAUAAAUGAUGCACGUACAGCUACAGUAGUUGCUGGCUUUGGCACCAUAAUUUGACAGGUCUCGUGAAGUAGAAGAAAUUGCCUUCGUCCAUUUAUUUGCUGCAGUUUCAACCACAUCAACGACUCAACUAUUUCUGCAUUAGGGUUCUUGCGUCAUCCUGCAUGCUGCAGAAGAGCCGGAAGCCAGCCACCAACUCAAGCAAGAGGACCUAAAGAUGGAGCUUCCAUCUAUCAUUUGCUUUUGAUCCAGUUGAAGUGUACAGAAUAACUCUACGUGUAUAUAAGCUAUGAUUUGGUGAUGCAUACUACCAUAUUACUGUUAAUAUCAUCCCAUCUCCUCACUAAUUUUGAUAUUUAAUCAUAUUCAUCUGUUAGUUUUGGAUGCUAAAUAUACACACAUAUAUAUAUACUACUAGUGGGUCCCAUUAUUUUCUCCAAUUACAAAACAGGUAAUCGCGGCGGUUGAGUCUUACACGUGGAGAUCUUAUUAGGUUCAAAAAGAAACCACCUGCUAUAAUCUAUGGUUAUUAUUCCGUUGUUUACAACGAUCAUUAGAUUAAAUGAUAUUAAUUAGUUAAGCAUUAGCUACUUAAUUCUCGAAUUAUCUAACAUAAUAAUAAUUUAUACUGCUCCCCUCCGUAUAAAACGAGGGCUCGGUGUCUCUCUCUCUCUCUCUCUCUCUCUCUUUCUUCUUGUGGCAUUGAGUCCGCCGUUUCUUUAUCCCUUCUCGGUCGUGGCCUUGAGGCGGCGCCGAUCUCCUGGAGAACCGAGUCACAGCGACGAUAGGCAUGGAUCCCGACCAGGCCUUCCCCGGCGGCGACCACAGCUUGGAGUUCGCAUUCGACUCCAGCAACGUCUCCGGCCGCGUGCUUCAGAUCGAGAUCAUGGCGGGGCCGGCCACCUCGAACGGAGGGACGGCGGCGCGAAGGAGAAAGGAAUACAAAAUACAAGGCACUCUGUCCAUUGCCCAUGGCUUUUCCCAGUGAAACGACGUGAAAAGGAUGGAAACAUUCAGAGACUGUCUUCUCUGCUCCCCCCUCUGAUCCAUCAAAGCAAGCGCAAAGGUCUCCUUCAACACCAAUCAAGAAGAGAGAUGAUGCAUUACAAACAGAUAUGGGUGAUGUGUACUUGCAAGUGAUGUACGGAUACUGCUUGAAUGGAAGUUUUCCUUGAUUUUUC